rnacentral:rRNA from 1 species
UACGGGGGGGGCAAGCGUUGUUCGGAAUUACUGGGCGUAAAGGGCGCGUAGGCGGCUCGCUAAGUCGGAUGUGAAAACUCUGGGCUCAACCCAGAGCCUGCAUUCGAAACUGACGAGCUGGAGUUCUGGAGGGGAAAGCGGAAUUCCUGGUGUAGCGGUGAAAUGCGUAGAUAUCUGGAGGAACACCGGUGGCGAAGGCGGCAUUCUGGACCGAAACUGACGCUGAGGCGCGAAAGCCAGGGGAGCAAACGGG